rnacentral:rRNA from 1 species
UCCUAGGAGUGACGGGCGAUUUGUGCAUAAAGAAUUUCCCAUACAAGAAAAAUUUUUGAUUUUACCUUUUUUUCCAGAUCCUUCUUUUUCCUGUUCUCCUUAUUAGUAAUUUCAAUAAGUGGCUCAUCUCUUCGCUUAUAUGAGUGCUGUCUCGAUCUGUCUUCUUAGGUUUUAUCUAUUUAAAAUUUUUUCUUAGGUUAUUUUUUUCACGAUGAUAUGGCAACUAAUAAUAAAAGGGUUUUAUCGUGUGUUAUCGGUUAUAGGACAGGCCCCUCUGUUAAGCUUCUUUACCGCCAUCUAAGAUAAUUUUCUUUUAUUUACUUAAUCCUCUUUCUUUCCGUAAAG